CCCCCAUCGUUCAAACCCUCCCUCCCCGGCCUUUUCCCGGCUAGGGUUUCUGACCGCCCUUCCGUCUCCCGUCGCCAUGGAGAGUUCCUCCUGAUCUUUCGAUUCGAUCUGUUGACCCAUGAUUUAUUGUUUUCCCUUCUGAUUCGUGUCUUUGAUUGGUGAAACUCCGUGAAUAGCCGCAGAGGAUCUCCGUCGAGCUUCUCCGCCGAAGCGCAGGAGGCUCGGGAGGUCCACAAGCGAUCGAAUUUUACCCCAGAGGUUUUGGGUAUUGAAGGAAGAAUGUUUUCCAGGAAUCGUUAUGCGGAGAAGGUGCUGAUGAAGAAGUUGUAAGCAUCCUUUGCAUCGUCCUUGAAGUUUGAUUUCCUAAACUUGUCUCAGUAAUGUAGGUCCGAAUGGCGGGGAUCUCGUCGUCACUGAAGUGGCGGGCUGCGUAGAUCAGGCCGCGUCGAGGUUGAUCGCGGUGUUCCGUAGAGGAGGCCUCCUUUGCUCUGCCUCCCAAGGGCGCUAACCUCGUCUUCUCACCUGCACAUAGGUCGGGUCGGGGGGCUCGGCCCGACCCCUCCGACGAUCAAGUUAGUGAUGCGGAGUGGGAGCGGGUUACGUCUGACACUGGUGUUGGCGUGGCGUGAAGGAUCGAGUCUGAACAGAUCGUUAAUGGGCCUCGGUCUGCGUUCUGGUUCGUUUGACCAGGUUCCGUCGGGUAGGUUGAGGUGUGAGGCGUCGUCUGGGACAGCUGACGUCUGCGCGGGUCUUGUCACCAUUUAUUACCCUCAUCAGACAGUAACGGCUUGCUGUCCAUGAUGAAUCAUCAAAUCUCCAUUAGGUGGUCGACAAGGUUCAUGAUGAAGCUACUCCUGCAUCUUUUAGAUUGGGAUACGACAACAUGGAAAAAGAUGAUCCUCAAACAACACUUAAGCAGAAAAAGGAGGAAAAGGCUGGCAAUUGAAAGGUCCCCUUACCAAUGGUGAGCUUGCUUUUAAAAUAUGCCCAACACAUGAUUUUAGUUUCACUUUAGAAAUAGCCCCUACGCCUAUCUAAGAUCUCUCUAGAUCAGUCAAAUGAUUUCUCAACAUCCUCUCUUUGACGUUGAAUGUGUGCCUGCAAUUGUGCAUGCUUCCAUCAUGUGGUAGACUUAAGAGCCUCACCUUUAAGUACAGUCAUGACCAAUUAGCCAUUCUUUUGAUUGUCCUUGUAUCAUCGAGGGAGGGAAGGAAGGUCCGGGAGAGAAUAGUCUUCUUUUUUUUAUACAGAAAUAGAUCAUUUUUCGUGGGACAGUGUACACAGUGAUUAAAGUUGCCCUUUCAUUUGCUUAUGAAUCUUAUUAUAAAAUCAUAGACACUUUUAAGAACUAAUUACCAAUUU